rnacentral:lncRNA from 1 species
CAACUAUACAGCUAAAUGGUAAAGACAAAUUUUCCUAAGAAUUUGUCUUCUCCUUUCUAUGCAGGCAAGAGUGAAGUACUGAAAUGAACUCCAGAAGUAAAGUGAGUAGGGCAACUGGGCACAAGGAGAGGCACUCACAACAAAAUUCAAAGAGUUUCAACACAAUCUGAAUGCCAACCUCUGGGCAUGGUGGUACAACCCUGAAGCACUCGGGAGGCUGAGACAGGAGGAUUGCUGCGAG